rnacentral:sRNA from 1 species
AAACGGUAAUUCUUAGAUUGCAGAAAGGUUAAAGGCUACAGUUUGGAAAGACUGAUAGCAUAUGAUUUGUUUCAGAAUGUAAAAAGGGCAGCUCUCUGGCAUGUUCCUGACUGAGGAUCUCAUAACAUUUAACUUGAGGAACUUCCUCCUUUUCCAGCUUUGGGAGUCAAGGUGAGACUCCUGGGGACCUAGGUAGGAAGUAUCUGAAGACUUGGGAGAGGAGGCACAGUCCUUGGGAAGCCUGAUAAAGGGAAGAGGUUGGAGUCCACGUGGCAGAAUGGCCGUUGUUUUCUUUCUCCUUAAUGGAUAUUAAGAUUUAUUGGUAAGAGCACUUAGGAUGGGUAAACUGACUUACAUAGAUAAAUACAGAAUGUGUAAAUGAUAAUUUCAAGUUUAUGCCAUUAAGCUCCUGGAUUCUAAGUAACUAAAAACACAGUUUAUUAAAUUAAAGGACAAGUUAGGUAGUGGCUAUAAUUAACAAAUCCUAUAGAGACCUGCCUAUCAGCAUGUAGACUUGUCUUCAUAAUUGAGUGACUUUAAGAAGGGAUGUCUUCUCUCCCUUCGCCUCACAAACCAACAUCCCCCCAGUCCCCAGUGCGAUUCCUAAGGUUGGUAACCCACCAGAGUCACACGGGCCCCUAUGUCUGAAAGUCUUUCUUGAAGUCUGCAUGUUCAAGGUUUGAAAGUUGGAAUCUGGUUAUUUAUUUUUUCACCUUCCUUCACUCCAAUGUUCUGGGUAUGGAUUGACCUUCCCACCUCCCUUCCUUUGCUAUUGGGACCUCAGAGGUCUUGAGGGGUGAGUAUGUCUCAUCCAGAGACAGGGUGUGCUGACUUCCCUAGGAGAUCAUGAGUUUAGGUUAAUGCUUUAAAAUCACUGGAGGGAAGGAGCAGACAAAACUAUAAAAACAUUCUUGGGGCUUUGAGGAGAAUGAGGAGCAGAGUUAUGGAAGGAAGGGUGGGUGGGUGCAUAUUUAGAUAGGAGAGAGAAGGGGAAAGGGGGAACCCCCUCCUUGCCACCCAGGCUCUCCCAGGGCCAAAGUGACACCCCCUCCUCCUCCUGCCCUAAUCCCCCCAUUAAGGCAGCUCUGAGUUUGUUAUGACAGGGGCUGAAGGCUGCUGAAUUGCUGUUUGCUGUGUCUGCUAAUUGGACUGAAGGGUUGGAGUCUGGACACUGAAAGAGACCAUUGUUGCUGUUUACCUUCUACAGCCGCCUCCCUGGGGACCCUCUGGGUAAAGGGGAGCAGCAGCACCCCCUUAGGGUCAUUGCACCCAUUUCCUGCACAAGGGACUGCGGUGGGGAGACAGUUUGUCUCAUUGCCUUGGGGUGGUUUGAGCUUCUACAGCACAGAGGAGACAAGCCAACACCUGAGCCAGUCUCAUCUCCAGGCCAGGCCUAGGGGCCAUCCAGGAGCUCCCAGGAAAGAGGAUUUACAUGCUUGUCUUUCUCCUUUUUAUUCAUUCCCUUCUUCUUUAGGGAUCGUUGCUUUGCCUCUUCCUCCAGCUAAUCAGGCUUCACCCCCUGCACCUUUUCUGACCUGCUUUCUUCUAGCUUCUCACCUGGGGCGGGUGGGUUCUGCACCACCCUCCCACCCUCCUUCCUCCGUGUGGACGAUAGAGCCACAUCCAGCACCACGGACAGCUCCCGGGCGACCAAAAAGAAGAAUGUACUUCAUCUGGUUGGGCUGGAUUCCCUCUGAUAAGCCUUCCCAGUUGACUGAAAGAUGAGGCUAGGCUCUAGCAAGUUGAAGUCAAACCAGCUCCUUCAAGAAGCUUUGAGCAGAAUGAAGUGGGGAGGACCCAGCUUCCAGCCUAGGAAGCCCACUGUACCUGGAGCCAUCUGGGAUAAGACUUUGACCCAUGACUCCCAUAUCCACAACCUGUCCAUCCUAGCCCAUCCCAGUUUAUCCUGUAUCAUUUGAGCUGGGAUUCCCACAUCCUCUGAGAUGGAAGUCCCAUCUCAAAUCUUCAAUAAAGACUCUUGAAUAUUGAGUCA